AUGAUUAAUACAGUAAUUGCUUACACUUCCCAAGAACAUCCUUUUGAUGGGACCAAAAGCACGGGACCCCAUAACUAGCAAAUCAGCAUGCAAAUUCUCAACCACUUCACAGAUCUUUUCCUUUGGAUCUCCGAUUACUACUUUAGUUUCCACGUUCACUUUGUACUCGGAGCAAAUCCGUGAAGCAUGGUCCAGUAUCGCAGCUGUAAUCCGCCUCUGAUGGGACUCAAUCGCUGCUGUGAAAGCAGGAACCUCCAGAUCGCUAGGACCGCCAAAGGGGAUUGGAGCAGGACUGAGACCAGCGGCAAUUGAAGGAGGAGGUUGCACAUGCAACACAACGAAAGUUCCAUCGGUGGAGUCCGGUGCCGAUGAACGGAGCUUGAGAUUUUGAAACGCCCACCGUAAAGCACCCAUGCUCUCUUCGCUGCCGUCGACGGCGACGAUCACGCAUCCGAGAUCCGCUGACAUGGUUCACAAGAUUGAGAUUUCCGAGAGUGGCUGAUGACUUGCCGGUGUGAUUCUCAACGUCUCGCUGACUUCCUUCCAGUAGCAGCCGCGGGAAGGAAGUCAGCGAGA
rnacentral:misc_RNA from 1 species